CUCUCGUCACUUCCGGCUCCCAGCGCUCUCUGAAAGCUAGGCUAGCGGAGCUUAUAAAGAUCCGAUGGUAGAGCUUUCGCUUUCCCCCUCAGACGCUCCAGAUGUAGACUAGGUGAGCACUCUGCCCGGGAGGGACAGAUCGUCGGAGCCCGCGGGCGGAAGGCGAGUCGUGGCGGGGUUAGGGCUCUGGAGUCCGGCCCCGCCCGGCAGUCCCCUGAGCUUGAAAGAAUUGAAUGCCUCCUCAGUUGUCACCCAGGCUGAUCUUGCGCAGGCUGUUGGCUUCUCGUGGAGUUUGAGUUUUUGGACAGUGACGUAGGAUGGCUGUGUUGCCCAGACAGGAGAAGAAAAGGAAGAACCUGUUGCUUAAGUUCCGGAGACAUUUUUGUUGCUGUUGUUUACUGAGCGUGUGAAGGGAGGUCUUUCUGCCUUGCCUGUUUUAUUUUCAGGAAGCAGGGCUGGGAAUGAACCCUGGCACUGAGACAGCCAUCCUGAAGCUAGAACAAGCCGGAAGAACAAAUAAACCCCAGUUUCUUGUACCCUGGCUGAUGUAUUUAGUGAAUGGCCUAGGGGGCUGAACAACCUGCAUUAAAGCUUGCUGCAGACACAUGAGACAGAGUCAACUGAGCUUGGGGCAGCUCUCCAAGAUGGAUGCUGUGCCCAAUUUAAAAAGACAAAGUCAAAUAGGAUGGGGUUUGGGUUUGAACUUUUGUUUUUUUUUUUUCAGAUGACCUCAGUAUGUAGCCUACGACUUUUUUUAAACUGGUGUUUCUCCUGCCUGGGCCCUCUGAAUACUAGAAAUGCAGGUAUGCACCAUGGGGUUGAGGUGUUAACCAUUUCUAAAAUAAAAUAAACCUGUAAGGCUUUAAGUAACACUAAAAAUAAAAAUAAAAGGGCAUUUUGUACA
ensembl:antisense 2810001G20Rik RIKEN cDNA 2810001G20 gene